GAUGAACGCUAGCUACAGGCUUAACACAUGCAAGUCGAGGGGAAACGGCAUUGAGUGCUUGCACUCUUUGGACGUCGACCGGCGCACGGGUGAGUAACGCGUAUCCAACCUUCCCAUUACUGUGGGAUAACCUGCCGAAAGGCAGACUAAUACCGCAUAGUCUUCGAUGACGGCAUCAGAUUUGAAGUAAAGAUUUAUCGGUAAUGGAUGGGGAUGCGUCUGAUUAGCUUGUUGGUGGGGUAACGGCCCACCAAGGCAACGAUCAGUAGGGGUUCUGAGAGGAAGGUCCCCCACAUUGGAACUGAGACACGGUCCAAACUCCUACGGGAGGCAGCAGUGAGGAAUAUUGGUCAAUGGACGGAAGUCUGAACCAGCCAAGUAGCGUACAGGAUGACGGCCCUAUGGGUUGUAAACUGCUUUUGUAUGGGGAUAAAGUUAGGGACGUGUCCCUAUUUGCAGGUACCAUACGAAUAAGGACCGGCUAAUUCCGUGCCAGCAGCCGCGGUAAUACGGAAGGUCCAGGCGUUAUCCGGAUUUAUUGGGUUUAAAGGGAGCGUAGGCUGGAGAUUAAGUGUGUUGUGAAAUGUAGACGCUCAACGUCUGAAUUGCAGCGCAUACUGGUUUCCUUGAGUACGCACAACGUUGGCGGAAUUCGUCGUGUAGCGGUGAAAUGCUUAGAUAUGACGAAGAACUCCGAUUGCGAAGGCAGCUGACGGGAGCGCAACUGACGCUUAAGCUCGAAGGUGCGGGUAUCAAACAGG
rnacentral:rRNA from 1 species